AAUUAGUAUAAGGACUCUUAAUAUGUUAUAAUACUAUAAUAAAUGAUAAUCAUACAUUCAUAGAUUUAUAAUAACACUUCUAUGUUUUAAAGUUAAUAAACUAAUAAUAUUAGAAUUAGAAAUUUAGGAUACUCAAAUAAAAAAUAAUAUCAAAAUACAAUACUAGUUUAUUAGUAGUUUAGGCCAUUAAUUUUAGAAAUAUGAAUAUUCAACCAUAGAUUAAGUUAGUAAUCCAUGUGAUUGGGAAUUCUCAAUUGUCAUUGGUCGAAAAAUAAUGUCAUGAAUUAUGGAUUGAGACCAUUGAUUUGAAAAAGAUCAAAAUCCAACCAUUGAAUCCCUUACUACCCCUAAACCCUCUCUCUUUUCUCUCAUUCUUGUUCCUCACAGCCUCCAUCUUCAUCUUCCUUAAUCCUCUUCAUCUUCUCGUACACCACCACUACCAGUCUCUUCACUACAAGACAACACACUUUUACCGAACGAAAACAUCCACUGAACUUUUUUCGAUAGUCCAAGACAAGAAAAUCUACAAGGUGGAGCAAGGGUUGUGAAAUGAGUUCUUUAUGUCAUAACUCAAGUAAAGUUGAAGAUUUCUAGUCAAAAUAGCAAGAUUCAAGAAGAAACGCCAAAAAUAUGAAAAUCCCAUUGUUUAUAUACUUGAUAUAAUGCUUAUUGUUAGAUCUAUAUAUUAGGAUAACUCUAGUUUUCUUAGGAUUCGUAUUUAUAUUUCACAAUUUUUUGUAAGUAUCUUUUUGUUCAUAUUUACAUGUCUUAUAAUUUUUUUUGUUUGAUUAUUUCUCCUAAAAAUGAAUUGGAUAUUUAUA